UACCCUAUCAAGAUGAUCCCCCGCACUCAGCUUCUCUGGCUCCUUGUCCUCUGCAUUCAGGACUCCAGUGGGCAGAUUGUGAUGACUCAGAGUCCACAAUCCCUGUUGGUGUCUCCAGGAGACAGAGUCACCAUCAACUGCAAAGCCAGUGCCAGCAUUGGUGGUACUAUAGCCUGGUACCAGCAGAAAUCGGGACAAGCUCCUAAGCUCCUUAUCCACAGCGCUUCCACCCGUCCCUCUGGGAUCCCAGACCGGUUCAGCGGCAGUGGGUCGGGCACUGACUACACAUUCACCAUCAGCAAGGUAGAAGCGGAUGAUGCUGGAGAUUAUUAUUGUCAGCAGCAUUAUAGCACCCCUCUCACACAGUGA